UUUUUGUGUGUUUUUGGAUUCUCUCGUUCUCACAAUUCUAUUUUCAUUUCAACGUAAACCAGCCGCCACAGCUCUCGUUCGCCGGAAAGAUUCAUCAAUCAAAUCGACUGGAAUCAACCAGCCGCCGCAGCUCCGGCCACCGCCAUUCAUUCUUCUUCAGAUCCAGUAUAUUAUCUUAGAAACUCGCCGGAAACUACUAUAGUAUAGUCGCGCAUCCAGCGUCGCCGGAUCUCGACCGUUCGAUUCACAUCACACCAUCGUUCUCCUCCGCUUGCGCCACCGGAGAAACUUCAAGGAGAUCUUGUUUACCGAGAUGUAUGGUGAAUGGUCCUGAAAAAAGUAGCAAAGUCUAUAAGUUUAGAUUUUCGGGUUUCACGGGGAAUAGCAGAGGUUAACGAAGGGAAAUAUUCUCAUGCUAUAUCCAUUUUUGACCAGAUAUUGAAAGAAGACUCUGCAUUCAAGAGAGACGGCAUUUGCAUUCAAGAGAGAACUUCAUUCUGCCAUAGAUGAUUUUACCAAGGCUAUACAAUUCAAUCCAUCAGCUGGUGAGGCAUUAGAGUUUGAAUCCAACACAGCAGACAUUUUACACGAGAGAGGAUAGUUUUUGAUUCUGAUUCUUGCACUAUUGUUCUUGUGGUCCAAUGCUCAUACAUUUAUUCACAAAGGAAGUGGUAGCAUUAGGAGAAAGUGUGGGCUAUCAUCUCAUAAUUGUUGGGAUGGGUCGAUUUCCAUCGAAUAUGGUGACGAGAUUAGCAGAGAGGACAGCAGAGCAUCCAAAGUUAGGUCCCAUUGGAGACAUUCUUACUUCUUCAACAAGAGGUCAUAGGAUGGUGUCAUCGGUAUUGAUUAUACAGCAGCAUGAUGAGAGCCUCACUAAUGACUAGGAAGAACACUUGGUU